AAGUCGUAACAAGGUCUCCGUUGGUGAACCAGCGGAGGGAUCAUUACAGAGUUAUCAAAACUCCCAAACCCAUGUGAACAUACCUCGCGUUGCCUCGGCAGGUGGCGCCCCGCCCUGUGAGGGCCUACCCUGUAGGAGCUCACCCGGUGGUCGCCCCUGCCGACGGCCCACGGAACUCUGUUUUUAUAGCAUUAGACCUCUGAAAAGAUAACUAAAUAAGUUAAAACUUUCAACAACGGAUCUCUUGGUUCUG
rnacentral:misc_RNA from 1 species